UUCCGGUUGAUCCCGCCGGCGACUACUGCUAUCAGGUCCCGACUUAGCCAUGCGAGUCAAAGGGUCGUAAGACACUGGCGUACUGCUCAGUAACACGCGGACAAUCUAACCCCAGGAGGGGUAUAACCUCGGGAAACUGAGGGUAAUUCCCCAUAGUUAUCAUAUGCUGGAAUGCUUUGAUGAUGAAAGUUCCGACGCCUGAGGAUGAGUCUGCGGCCUAUCAGGUAGUGUGUGGCGUAAAGGACCACAUAGCCUUUGACGGGUACGGGCCCUGAGGGGGGGAGCCCGGAGAUGGACUCUGAGACACUAGUCCAGGCCCUACGGGGCGCAGCAGGCGCGAAACCUGUGCAAUGCGCGUAAGCGCGACACGGGGAGCCUGAGUGCCUUGACUAAGUCAAGGCUUUUCUUAAGCCUAAAAAGCUUGAGGAAUAAGAGCUGGGCAAGACGGGUGCCAGCCGCCGCGGUAACACCCGCAGCUCGAGUGGUAGUCACUUUUAUUGAGCCUAAAGCGUUCGUAGCCGGUUUUGUAAAUCCUCAGACAAAUUCUCCUGCUUAACGGGAGAUACUCUGGAGAGACUGCGAAACUAGGGACCGGGUGAGGUUGAAGGUACUUCUGGGGUAGGGGUAAAAUCCUGUAAUCCUGGAAGGACGACCAGUGGCGAAGGCGUUCAACCAGUACGGAUCCGACGGUGAGGAACGAGGGCUAGGGGAGCAAACCGGAUUGGAUACCCGGGUAGUCCUAGCUGUAAACACCGCCCACUUGGUGUUGCUUCUUCUAUAGGGGGGAGCAGUGCCGGAGCGAAGGUGUUAAGUGGGCCGCUUGGGGAGUAUGGUCGCAAGGCUGAAACUUGAAGGAAUUGGCGGGGGAGCACCGCAACGGGAGGAGCGUGCGGUUUAAUUGGAUUCAACGCCGGG
rnacentral:rRNA from 1 species